rnacentral:lncRNA from 1 species
GCAGGAGCCCCUUAUCCGCCGCAUCUUCCAUGACGUCGCCGAACCCCUGCAGGGUCCCCGCGGCCUUCCUGUCCUCCGCGCGCAGCGGCGGCUAUAAAAGGGGAGAAUUCGGCGCGCGGCGCAGGAAGGGAUCCGGAUCAAGGGCUUCCUUCCCCCUCCUGCUCCGCCGCCAUGAAGCGCUUCGCGGCUGCCCUGGUCCUCCUCCUCCUGGGAGCCCUCCUGGCCCCGGCCGANGCUUCUCUGGGCCCUGAAAAGACCCCCGAGGAAACUCUUAAUCCGUAUUUCAUGGCAAAAAUGGUAACCGGGUCUGCGGGAACCCCAGCGAAAAAUGGGCCCAGCACCUGGCUCAGCAUUUCAAAUGCAAGUGACAGGAUCCCCUNCGCCACCCAAGGAGAAGAGAAAGCAGAGCGGAAGGU